ACCUACAGCCAUGCCACUCCAAAUAUGCCUGAUCUCGUCUGAUCUCGGCAGCUAAGCAGGGUCAGGCCUGGUUAGUAUUUGGAUGGGAGACCACCUAGGAAUACCGGGAGCUGUAGGUG
rnacentral:rRNA from 1 species